rnacentral:rRNA from 1 species
AUUGAACGCUGGCGGCAGGCUUAACACAUGCAAGUCGAACGAGCGGCGGACGGGUGAGUAAUGCUUGGGAAUCUAGCUUUUGGAGGGGGAUAACUACGGGAAACUGUAGUUAAUACCGCGUACCCUAGGAUGAGCCCAAGUGGGACUAGGUAGCUGGUGAGGUAAAGGGUCACCAAGCCGACGUUCUCUAGCUGGUCUGAGAGGAUGACCAGCCACACUAGGACUGAGACACGGCCCAGACUCCUACGGGGGGCAGCAGUGGGAAAUAUUGCGCAAUGGGGGAAACCUGACGGAGCCAUGCCGCGUGAAUGAAGAAGGCCGUCGGGUUGUAAAGUUCAUUCGGUAGCGAGGCGUUGACUACAGAAGAAAGACCGGCUAACACCGGGCCAGCAGGCGCGGUAAUAC